CAUCUCUCAUUUUCUCUUUAAUUUUUCAUAGAAAAAUUGUGAUCUACGAAGAUCAAACCGUCCAAACUCAAAUCCGACUUCGGUAACGUGAUCUACGAAGCCCGAUCUACGUUUUCACCGAUCGUUUUGAGGUAAUGGGUUACUUGGAACUUGCUUGAGGCUGCCCAAACCAUGAGUUUUGGUUUGGUGAAAUUUUGUGAUACAUUGCAAGGUGGUGUCUAAGAGACCUAGUGCUUAAAUCCGCGCAGUCAAGGGAAACUCCAGUGACUUUGUUGGCUUUGGAUCCAGAUGUUUCCUUGAGUCCCCGGUGC